AUUCCUACGGGAGGCAGCAGUGGGGAAUAUUGGACAAUGGGCGAAAGCCUGAUCCAGCAACGCCGCGUGAGGGAUGACGGCCUUCGGGUUGUAAACCUCUUUCAGCGUGGACGAAGCGAAAGUGACGGUACCCGCAGAAGAAGCACCGGCCAACUACGUGCCAGCAGCCGCGGUAAUACGUAGGGUGCAAGCGUUGUCCGGAAUUAUUGGGCGUAAAGGGCUCGUAGGCGGUUUGUCACGUCGGGAGUGAAAACUCAGGGCUCAACCCUGAGCGUGCUUCCGAUACGGGCAGACUAGAGGCAUGCAGGGGAGAACGGAAUUCCUGGUGUAGCGGUGGAAUGCGCAGAUAUCAGGAGGAACACCGGUGGCGAAGGCGGUUCUCUGGGCAUUACCUGACGCUGAGGAGCGAAAGCAUGGGGAGCGAACAGGAUUAGAUACCCUGGUAGUCCAUGCCGUAAACGUUGGGCGCUAGGUGUGGGGACCUUCCACGGUCUCCGUGCCGCAGCUAACGCAUUAAGCGCCCCGCCUGGGGAGUACGGCCGCAAGGCUAAAACUCAAAGGAAUUGACGGGGGCCCGCACAAGCGGCGGAGCAUGCUGAUUAAUUCGAUGCAACGCGAAGAACCUUACCUGGGUUUGACAUAUACCGGAAAGCUGUAGAGAUACAGCCCCUUUUAGUCGGUAUACAGGUGGUGCAUGGCUGUCGUCAGCUCGUGUCGUGAGAUGUUGGGUUAAGUCCCGCAACGAGCGCAACCCUCGUUCUAUGUUGCCAGCACGUAAUGGUGGGGACUCAUAGGAGACUGCCGGGGUCAACUCGGAGGAAGGUGGGGAUGACGUCAAGUCAUCAUGCCCCUUAUGUCCAGGGCUUCAAGCAUGCUACAAUGGCCGGUACAAAGGGCUGCGAUACCGCAAGGUGGAGCGAAUCCCAAAAAGCCGGUCUCAGUUCGGAUUGGGGUCUGCAACUCGACCCCAUGAAGUCGGAGUCGCUAGUAAUCGCAGAUCAGCAACGCUGCGGUGAAUACGUUCCCGGGCCUUGUACACACCGCCAUCCAUAUG
rnacentral:rRNA from 1 species